AGUGAACGCUGGCGGUAGGCCUAACACAUGCAAGUCGAACGGCAGCACAGUAAGAGCUUGCUCUUACGGGUGGCGAGUGGCGGACGGGUGAGGAAUACAUCGGAAUCUACUUUUUCGUGGGGGAUAACGUAGGGAAACUUACGCUAAUACCGCAUACGACCUACGGGUGAAAGCAGGGGAUCUUUGGACCUUGCGCGAUUGAAUGAGCCGAUGUCGGAUUAGCUAGUUGGCGGGGUAAAGGCCCACCAAGGCGACGAUCCGUAGCUGGUCUGAGAGGAUGAUCAGCCACACUGGAACUGAGACACGGUCCAGACUCCUACGGGAGGCAGCAGUGGGGAAUAUUGGACAAUGGGCGCAAGCCUGAUCCAGCCAUACCGCGUGGGUGAAGAAGGCCUUCGGGUUGUAAAGCCCUUUUGUUGGGAAAGAAAAGCAGCAGGUUAAUACCCCGCUGUUCUGACGGUACCCAAAGAAUAAGCACCGGCUAACUUCGU
rnacentral:rRNA from 1 species